GCCCCCAUGGUCUAGAGGCCUAGGACGCCACCCUUUCAAGGUGGAGACAGGGAUUCGAAUUCCCUUGGGGGCACCA
rnacentral:tRNA from 1 species